CAUCGACAGCGAAACGGCUCCGCCCGGACUCCUACGGGAGCCGGGCUCCUCCUGCAACUCUGGCUCCGAGAGGGUUCCACCCGGACUCCUACGAGAGCCAAGCUCCGACCUCAGUCUCCGACCUCAGUAUCGGCUACUGGAGCCGGACUCCACCCACGACCUCAACCAAAGGGGGGACUCCUCUCGGACUCCUGCAAAGGCCGAACUCCGACCACUAUCGAGCCUUGAUCAACAGAUCCGUGUCCCUUGGCAGAUAACAAUAACAGCCAUGGACCUGUUCCACUUCCUGUGGUAGAUUCCACGUGGCUCCACCACCCCCUACGACGGACCCACUACUCUCUGACAGGCUGUAUCAAUGGCCACGAUUCUGCUCCACUCCCUGUGGCAGGUGCUGCACGAUCCCACUACUCGCUGACAACUAGCGGCAACGGACGCCGCCCCACUACCUACAACAGGCCCUAC
rnacentral:lncRNA from 1 species